UCGAACGAGAUCUUCGGAUCUAGUGGCGCACGGGUGCGUAACGCGUGGGAAUCUGCCCUUGGGUUCGGAAUAACAGUUAGAAAUGACUGCUAAUACCGGAUGAAGUCUACGGACCAAAGAUUUAUCGCCCAGGGAUGAGCCCGCGUAGGAUUAGCUAGUUGGUGGGGUAAAGGCCUACCAAGGCGACGAUCCUUAGCUGGUCUGAGAGGAUGAUCAGCCACACUGGGACUGAGACACGGCCCAGACUCCUACGGGAGGCAGCAGUGGGGAAUAUUGGACAAUGGGNGGCACCCUGAUCCAGCAAUGCCGCGUGAGUGAUGAAGGCCUUCGGGUCGUAAAGCUCUUUUACCCCGGGAUGAUAAUGACAGUACCGGGAGAUUAGCCCCCGGCUACCUCGUGCCAGCAGGCGCGGUUAUAAU
rnacentral:rRNA from 1 species